UCCCAGAUAGCUCAGAUGGUAAAGAAUCUGCCUGCAAUGCAGGAAACCUGGGUUUGAUCCCUGGGUUGGGAA
rnacentral:tRNA from 1 species